UACGAAGGGGGCAAGCGUUGUUCGGAAUUACUGGGCGUAAAGGGCGCGUAGGCGGCUUAUCAAGUCAGGCGUGAAAUUCCCGGGCUCAACCUGGGGGCUGCGCUUGAUACUGAUUGGCUUGAAUGCGGGAGAGGAUAGUGGAAUUCCCAGUGUAGAGGUGAAAUUCGUAGAUAUUGGGAAGAACACCGGUGGCGAAGGCGGCUAUCUGGCACGUAAUUGACGCUGAGGCGCGAAAGCGUGGGGAGCAAACAGG
rnacentral:rRNA from 1 species